AAGAAAGAAAGAAAGAAAGAAAGAAAGAAAGAAAGAAAGAAAGAGAAAGAAAGAAAAAGAAAGAAAUAGACAGGAGGGACAAGAUACAUCUCGCUGUGCCUGAACUGAGAACUACCAUUGGACUUUUUUACUAACUUGAAUCAGUCACUUCUGUUGGAUGGAAAUUUGACCAGGAGCCUAACACUGCCACAGAAGGGUUUGCAAAUGCUCUUCAAGUAUAUGCAGAUAACCAGAGGAUAAAGGUGGAGCUAUGUGCUACAACACUUUUACUUACCUGAGUGGAUAGAACUUAAAGUUAGUAGGUCCUGACAAUAGACAACGUACUUAAAUAUCCAUACCUCCCCAUGGACCAUGACUGAAUAGUGCUGGCAUAGAGUAGAACUGAAAGGAUUAAUGCAGAGAACUGUGUCUUGGUAAAAGACUGGCCAAAGUAGAAGAUUCACAGAGGACUGUAAGGAAAAGUAAAUCAACAAUAGUCACAAAUGCAACAAUAUUAGGACAAGAAACCAGGAUCCCAGAGAGAAAAUUCUUUUCCGUGCAUGUAUGGUUUGCUGGAGAGAAGAUAUAAACUCUUCUUUUGAUGUGUAUAUUCUGUUACCGUUAGGGGAAAAAAACACCUUUAUAAAGAGGCUUUUUUCCUUGUUGUAUCGAUC